CUGGGAGUUAUGGAGCGGAAGAACGCGGAAGUUGGAGUACGCACAGAUUUAAGCAUGUGGAUUUUUUCUAUGCGUUCAGAACACUAAGAAGACCUAUUCAAUAACAAGAAAACACUGGAACAAAUAAGUGGCAAGUCAAAGGUGCUAAAAGAAGGGCUGCACUUCACUUGUGAGGAGAUCAAGAUUGUCAUCUCUGGAGUACUUUCGAUACUUGGGCAUUCAAUUGAGGCCUUCAGUCACCUGUUUUCCCUCACUGCUUGGUUGAAGACUCUCCUUGCUGAGUUUGGCCUUUGCUUCAUUGACAAUUUCAAUUUGUUCUGGGAGCAACAGUGUUUGAUCAGAAGAGAUGGGCUCCAUCUAAACAGGCAAAAUGCCCAGAUCCUCUCAAACAAUAUAGCUAAGGUCUUCCGUGGUGGCAUUUUGUGCCAACAGCAUCUGACUAAAGUCCUGUGCAUCAACCUAUGAUGUUUGAAUGAAAGCGGGUGCCCCAUCCUGCCAUGAGACCCACUGCAUUGAAGCCUAGAAACCAACAACUUAAGAAUGUUUCUUUUGGGUAGAAUGACCAAUGAGGGCUGGGUGGUCUUCUGGCACACCUUGAACUCCUGUUGUUUUUUUCCCCCACUGUUUUCUCCCACUUAACUGGACUUUAUUGUUUCUGUUCAUCUGAACUUUUCAUCAGGCCGUUACUUUUGUCUUAAAAAGCAAUACUACAUUUAAGAACUAUCUCUUUUAUGUGAAACGAUCUAGAAAUGUUUGUGUUUUUGUAAAGCUUUUGACUCUUUCCUCUUUUUUUCUGGGGAUAAAUAUAAUGCUCAGAAGACUAAAAGCUGCCAUUGUGGGUUGUGUGUAAUGUCCAUCUCUUUGUCUACAAGUACCCAGUGCAAAGUGAUGAACCUCUUAGACCACCAAAUAUUAAACUCUAUCCACGCCCAGGCCUGUCCAGUUGUGCCCUCCUUAUUGUUUCAGUGAGAUCUUUUCAAGUGCAUUGUUGUUCUACUGGUUGUGUUUUGUCACUCCAUGUCCUCAGUCAGUUGUAGUGUAUUAUGUACUCAGAGUGUCUUUGUAGGUUUGUAGUUAAAAGUGUCUGAAUUGUCCACUGUUCUGUGAUGUGUACUGCAUGUCGUUGGUCGUUUCCUGUUUGGGUCUCUAAGUUAGUAAUACCUUGCUCUUCUAUUUCUUUGAUCCUAAUUCGUGGUAUGAGAUUAUGUGCCAGUGGAAUUCAUCUGUGAUUUGUGUGUUCUGGUAUUUAAGUUGUGUGUGUAAUGCAUUGUCUGUUUCUAAUUCUGUAAUUGUAUAUGCAUCCAUGAUGAUAAUCUUUUGUCCAUUUCAUGCGUUGCUGCAUCUUGCCUGUUUUGGUGGUUGGGACUUGGAGUGACCCUUGGAACAGAAGAGCAUUAUGGGUCUAGUGGUCAGGCCCACCACUCUAUGGAAUUAUCCAUUGCUAUUGCUGUACUUGGACCAGUGCUUCUCUCAGCGCCACCAUUCAAGGGAGCCUGCAGAUCACUUUGUAAAUCCAAAGGAGGUUCCGCUCCCAGAGUUGUCUUGCUACCUCUUGUGUGUAAGAGCGCCAUCAACCACAUGAAAGCAAAACUCCUGCUACUGUUCACUGGGCAAACAGCAGACCUUUGAAACAAAGACGAUCUCCAUGAGAGGGAAAUCCUGGUGUACACUUGGAGCAGCUGUGUGGCAGCCAUUCAGGCAUUGCAGGAGAACUCGUGAAACACAACAUCUAAACAGGAGCAUUGUGACCGUCACAAAGGACUUUACGUGUCCUCUGUAAGAAACUGCCUGUCCUGGGGAUGAUUUAUAGGGGUGAAGUUUUAAAUGUGUGUGUAAUUCGACAGCAUGUCAAUGUUAAUAUGGAAUUUGGUUAACUGUCAGUGUGCUUAGUAGGCCACGGUAGUGACUUUAUAAAUGAAGUUCUUUCAUAUUAGAGAAAUAAAUUAAAUGUGCCUUGAUUGGAAGAGUUUCAGCAUCAUAAUAUUGGUGCGGGUUCAUCUAAUGACGAUGCAUAUAUGGAGACCAAAUAUCGGCUGAUAGAUCAGCACCUGAUUUUAUUGGUUGUGCCCCAUAAAAACAAACUGUUGGAAAAAGUUAACAAUGUUUUCAAAUUAUGUAAAAAUUUGGAUUUGUUGUGUAAGUUUUAACUUGUCUUGUCUCCAUUUGUUCUUUAUUUCUGUAUGUUUUUAUAAUCAACUGAAAAGUCACUUUUAAUGUUUUUUGUGUAAACACAACAGAAUAAGAAUAUUCAUCUUUCAAUUUCAUUCUGUGGAGCUUAAAGCAGCUGAAUUUUUGGACGCAGAAGGCUAACCAUGUUUGCCAUCACAAAGUAUUAACUUUUUAAAUUCUCGCAUUUCAGUACAUGUUUCUUACCCAUCAUUAGCAAGCUACAUACUACUAUUACAUGUACCAAAAUAAAAUAAAAAAUCAUCCAACAGCACUUCAUUGUCUAUAGUGGACACAUUAAACCCAAAGGAAGGCAGAGUGGACUUGAAGAAACUGGGUCGGUACACCGCAAAUAUGUCAGGUCCUGAUGACGACAUGAGGAAGUGUGUCGUAUCAUAAUAAACAGUAUCAUG